GCUCCAGUGGCGCAAUCGGUUAGCGCACGGUACUUAUAAUGCCGAGGUUGUGAGUUCAAGCCUCACCUGGAGCA
rnacentral:tRNA from 1 species